rnacentral:piRNA from 1 species
UUUCAUUUGAUGACCCAGGCCCAUUAUUCCC